AGUGAACGCUGGCGGUAGGCCUAACACAAGCAAGUCGAACGGCAGCACAGUAAGAGCUUGCUCUUACGGGUGGCGAGUGGCGGACGGGUGAGGAAUACAUCGGAAUCUACUUUUUCGUGGGGGUUAACGUAGGGAAACUUACGCUAAUACCGCAUACGACCUACGGGUGAAAGCAGGGGAUCUUCGCACCUUGCGCGAUUGAAUGAGCGGAUGUCGGAUUAGCUAGUUGGCGGGGUGAAGGCCCACCAAGGCGACGAUCCGUAGCUGGACUGAGAGGAUGAUCGGCCACACUGGAAGUGAGACACGGUCCAUACGCCUACGGGAGGCAGCAGUGGGGAAUAGUGGACAAUGGGCGCAAGCCUGACCCAGCCAUACCGAGUGGGUGAAGAAGGCCUUGGGGUUGUAAAGCCCUUUUGUUGGGAAAGAAAAGCAGCAGGUUAAUACCCCGCUGUUCUGACGGUACCCAAAGAAUAAGCACCGGCUAACUUCGUG
rnacentral:rRNA from 1 species